GCGCGAGUGGCGGAAUGGCAGACGCGCUGGCUUCAGGUGCCAGUGUCCGUAAGGACGUGGGGGUUCAAGUCCCCCCUCGCGCACCA
rnacentral:tRNA from 1 species